UCCAUUAAGAAUAAGCAAAGCGCUCUCUGCCUCUCCAUUUUCUCUCCAAUACUAACAAAAAAGAAAAUAUGAGAAUCCACCACGGCGGUACAUGAAGAACAAGAGGGAGGUGGUAAAGAACACUGCAGCUCCGGCGAGUUUUCCGUCCGACCUCAAUGUGCAUUAGAUAGUAGUGUAAACGAAAUUGAUAGCCUACAAGAAUUUGCAUUGAAAUAUUUUUGGAGGGUUAAGGGAGCAAUGACGUUUCUGUCACGACUGAGAAUCGCAGAUUUGUAACGUAAAUGUAAUGGCUGAAAACAACUCUGAAGCCAACCCUGGCAGAUUUAGGCUCAGACGUGUAUCCCAAACCGCGUCGGUAUGACGUGAGAGGGCCGCAACCAGAACUACUAGGUUGUGGGUUGAUUGUGGGUUGAUGAUAACUCACUUUAUGGUGCGCAACCAUCUUGUUCGCAAUGCCUAGGUUCACUAUCACCUGGUUUUAUUUCUCGUAGCGACCUACUUGUGCAUCCACUUCACGGGGCCAUGAGUUCCUAGAUGAUGUUGAAUCCCCUAAAGCUCCGGAGGAAGCCAUUGUCGAUUCCUUAUUAGAUAGUUAUCCAAGAGUCUCAUUUGACACCUCUUUACUUCAUCUCUAUACAGACUAUGCUGCUAGGCAUGUUUAGGAAUGAGAGUUAUAUUUUUUUUUUCCUUUUGCAAUACAUAUAUUUUCAACUAAUUAAAUCGAUACUGAUGGUGAUAUUUUAUUUUUACAA